CCUACGGGAGGCAGCAGUGAGGAAUAUUGGUCAAUGGACGAGAGUCUGAACCAGCCAAGUAGCGUGAAGGAUGACUGCCCUAUGGGUUGUAAACUUCUUUUAUAAAGGAAUAAAACGAGGCACGUGUGCCUUUUUGCAUGUACUUUAUGAAGAAGGAUCGGAUAACUCCGGGCCAGCAGCCGCGGUAAUGCGGAGGAUCCGAGCGUUAACCGGAUUUAUUGGGUUUAAAGGGAGCGUAGAUGGGUUGUUAAGUCAGUUGUGAAAGUUUGCGGUUCAACCGUAAAAUUGCAAUUGAUACUGGGAGUCUUGAGUACAGUUGAGGUAGGCGGAAUUCGUGGUGUAGCGGUGAAAUGCUUAGAUAUCACGAAGAACCCCGAUUGCGAAGGCAGCUUACUAAACUGUGACUGACAUUGAGGCUCGAAAGUGUGGGUAUCGAACAGGAUUAGAUACCCCAGUAGUC
rnacentral:rRNA from 1 species